UGGUUCUGGCAUCGAUGAAGAACGCAGCGAAAUGCGAUAAGUAAUGCGAAUUGCAGCAUCCGUGAGUCAUCGAAUCUUUGAACGCAUAUUGCGCCCUUUGGUAUUCCGAAGGGCAUGCCUGUUCGAGCGUCAUUAUCACCUCUCAAGCCUGGCUUGUUGUUGGAUUCAGGUAAAGCUUGUGCUAUCACCUAUCCUAAAGAUAAUGACGGUGUCUAUGAAGACCCCAGUACAUUGAGCUUUUCAAGCACGUAUUAGGUGGAAAUCUAGGCCCGGUCUGGAUUACAAUUUUUUUCAGGUUGACCUCGGAUCAGGUAGGAAUACCCGCUGA
rnacentral:misc_RNA from 1 species